rnacentral:rRNA from 1 species
GAUGAACGCUGGCGGCGUGCCUAACACAUGCAAGUCGAACGGACUUACAUUGAAGCCUAGCGAUAUGUAAGUUAGUGGCGGACGGGUGAGUAACGCGUGGGUAACCUGCCUUGUACUGGGGGACAACAGUUGGAAACGACUGCUAAUACCGCAUAAGCGCACAGCUUCGCAUGAAGCAGUGUGAAAAACUCCGGUGGUACAAGAUGGACCCGCGUCUGAUUAGCUGGUUGGUGAGGUAACGGCCCACCAAGACGACGAUCAGUAGCCGGCCUGAGAGGGUGAACGGCCACAUUGGGACUGAGACACGGCCCAAACUCCUACGGGAGGCAGCAGUGGGGAAUCUUCCGCAAUGGGCGAAAGCCUGACGGAGCAACGCCGCGUGAGUGAUGACGGCCUCGGUUGUAAGACGUCUGUGAUCGGGGACGAACGGU